GUCCGUCAGAACGUAACGGGAAUACUUUUUUUCUCUUUGGACUUUUUCUUCGGAGAGUCGAGCUUCAUUCCUUAUUGAUCACGAUGCCGCGUGGGAAGUCGUACCGUCGCUCUCAGGCUGCCAAGAGGAGGAUGGAGAGGCAGGAGAGUUGGACGACCUCUCUGGACGGCAACCGCGUGGACGGUGUACCUUUGGUUGGUGGUACCGGUUGGCGGCACAAGGUGUUGAGGUGGGAGGAGUCGCAGCUGAC